rnacentral:rRNA from 11 species
GCGACCGAUAGUGAACCAGUACCGUGAGGGAAAGGUGAAAAGCACCCCGACAAGGGGAGUGAAACAGAUCCUGAAACCGGAUGCCUACAAACAGUUGGAGGGCGCAAGCCUGACAGCGUACCUUUUGUAUAAUGGGUCAGCGACUUAAUUUAACGAGCAAGCUUAAGCCGAUAGGUGUAGGCGUAGCGAAAGCGAGUCUGAACAGGGCGUUUUAGUUCGUUGGAUUAGACCCGAAACCGAGUGAUCUAGCCAUGGCCAGGUUGAAGGUGCGGUAACACGCACUGGAGGACCGAACCCACGCCUGUUGAAAAAGUCGGGGAUGAGCUGUGGCUAGGGGUGAAAGGCCAAUCAAACUCGGAAAUAGCUGGUUCUCCGCGAAAUCUAUUUAGGUAGAGCGUCGGAUGAAUACUCUCGGGGGUAGAGCACUGGAUGGGCUAUGGGGGCUUACCGCCUUACUGAUCCUAACCAAACUCCGAAUACCGAGAAGUACUAUCCGGCAGACACACAGUGGGUGCUAACGUCCAUUGUGGAGAGGGAAACAACCCUGACCGCCAGUUAAGGUCCCUAAGUUAUGGCUAAGUGGGAAAGGAUGUAGGACUCCCAAAACAACCAGGAUGUUGGCUUAGAAGCAGCCAUCAUUUAAAGAAAGCGUAACAGCUCACUGGUCAAGCGCUCCUGCGCGGAAAAUGUAACGGGGCUUAAGUGAUACACCGAAGCUGCGGAUUCGAUCUUUGAUCGAGUGGUAGCGGAGCGUUCCGUAGGCCGAUGAAGGCAGACCCGCGAGGGCUGCUGGAGGUAUCGGAAGUGAGAAUGCUGACAUGAGUAGCGACAAAGAGGGUGAGAGACCCUCUCGCCGAAAGUCCAAGGGUUCCUGCGCAACGCUAAUCGGCGCAGGGUUAGCCGGCCCCUAAGGCGAGGCCGAAAGGCGUAGUCGAUGGGAAUGCAGUUAAUAUUCUGCAGCUUGGUGGUAGUGACGGAUGCAGUGUGUUGUAUCUCCUUAUUGGAUUGGGGGUGCAGCGAAUGUGUUCCAGGAAAUAGCUCCACUUUAUAAACCGUACCCGAAACCGACACAGGUGGACUGGUAGAGAAUACCAAGGCGCUUGAGAGAACGAUGUUGAAGGAACUCGGCAAAAUACCUCCGUAAGUUCGCGAGAAGGAGGCCCAGUUUCUAGGCAACUAGUGGCUGGGGGCACAAACCAGGGGGUGGCGACUGUUUACUAAAAACACAGGGCUCUGCGAAG